rnacentral:rRNA from 1 species
CAGUCGCCACGGUAAUACGAAGGGUGCAAGCGUUAAUCGGAAUUACUGGGCGUAAAGCGUGCGUAGGCGGUGAGUUAAGUCUGCUGUGAAAUCCCCGGGCUCAACCUGGGGAUGGCAAUGGAUACUGGCAAGCUAGAGUGUGUCAGAGGAUGGUGGAAUUCCCGGUGUAGCGGUGAAAUGCGUAGAGAUCGGGAGGAACAUCAGUGGCGAAGGCGGCCAUCUGGGACAACACUGACGCUGAGGCACGAAAGCGUGGGGAGCAAACAGGAUUAGAUACCCCUGUAGUCCCUGUCUCUUAUAC